rnacentral:rRNA from 1 species
CCUACGGGAGGCUGCAGUGGGGAAUAUUGGACAAUGGGGGCAACCCUGAUCCAGCCAUGCCGCGUGUGUGAAGAAGGCCCUCGGGUUGUAAAGCACUUUCAGUGAGGAAGAACGCCUGGUGGUUAAUACCCAUCAGGAAAGACAUCACUCACAGAAGACGCCCCGGCUAACUCCGUGCCAGCAGCCGCGGUAAUACGGAGGGUGCGAGCGUUAAUCGGAAUUACUGGGCGUAAAGCGCGCGUAGGUGGCUUGAUAAGCCUGUUGUGAAAGCCCCGGGCUCAACCUGGGAACGGCAUCCGGAACUGUCAAGCUAGAGUGCAGGAGAGGAAGGUAGAAUUCCCGGUGUAGCGGUGAAAUGCGUAGAGAUCGCGAGGAAUACCAGUGGCGAAGGCGGCCUUCUGGACUGACACUGACACUGAGGUGCGAAAGUGUGGGUAGCAAACAGGAUUAGAUACCCCUGUAGUC